UUUAGAGUUUUCUUCAACCUGAGGAGCUGCUAGCCGUUAGCCGCUAACAAGCCCAGCACUGGCUAGCUACUCUGCUAGUGUGGAUACACAAGACCCGCUGCUAGCUAAAGUGCGCCGCAUAGUUGUUUUUCCGAAUGGAUUAAAUGGAAGCGCCACAACACCAAAGGCCUAAACAUCACCUUAACGAGGGCCUGUAAAUAGAUUGGACAACAAUGACUAAACCUUGCAUUUAUGAAGACUUGCUAAAUCCCCCCUCGCCAAGACCACCAGCAACAACAUCGCUGUUAUUGACUACUGCUGCAAUCCAGAUAUGAUUCCGGGGCCACAAUUGAAAAGGACUUUAAGUCCUUUUGUUCACUUUAAAUGUUGACAAGAUCAUAUGGUGGCGCACAUAUCUGUGGGACUACUGCACCACAAUCGAAUCCUUUAUGACCAAACCAUAAGCUAAUUGACGGUGGAAUUGUUUACGCGUUAAAAUGGCUGCUGAAAUGUAGGUUUGGUUGAGAAUCAUCUUCAGUAAGAUGUAGUAAAUGUUGCCACAAUGUUUCUUUCUUGAAGUAUAAGUGGAAAUUUGGGACAAUGCGUCGCCUUCAACGUUUUUGCAGUAUUACUCGCUGAACUGAUUUUUCCACCCGUAACUGCAGGAGGCAGAGUGAAGGGAAUUUAUUUUAUGAAUACAGUUCAAUUCGUGAGCUGUCAUCUUUUACGUCUAUUUAUUUUUUAGUUUAACAUGUUUGCUGUCAAAUAGCUUUUCUGUGUGCUCUAGAUGCAGUAGUUUAUAUCCAAUUGAUUAUGCAAAGCAUUCAAAAAACAUUCACCACCACUACCCUGAAUCAGACCACCGGUUAAACAACCUGAGGUAGCACGAAACCAAGACUUACCAAAUUGAGGCCUUGGUCUUUUGACUUUUUCAAAAGGUAAAAUGGAUGCUGGGAAAACAUGUUGGACUGCUUCGUUCCCUGUCAGAGCCAGGCAGAGCCUAGACAGCGGACCGCAGGGGAUCAGGCAGGGCCGAGACAGCGGACUGCGGGGUAUCAACAGAUACUUGCUGCUGUAUGUUUUGUUCUACUUUGUGCUCUUCACACACGCCUCCCCGAAAAAUUCUUGUGAUAAAAACUGCCUGUCUGGGAAGUGUGUCAAUGGGACAUGUAUCUGCGACCCAGGAUGGGUCGGUGAUCAAUGCCAGCACUGCCAAGGAAGAUUCAAGUUGACAGAGCCUUCCGGAUACCUCACUGAUGGGCCAAUCAACUACAAGUACAAGACCAAGUGCACCUGGCUCAUUGAGGCCUACCCCAACGCUGUCCUCAGACUGAGGUUCAACCACUUUGCCACAGAGUGCAGCUGGGACCACCUGUACGUAUACGAUGGGGACUCUGUCUACGCCCCUCUGGUCGCUGUGUUCAGUGGUCUGAUAGUGCCUGAAGUCCGGAUCAAUGAGACUGUACCGGAGGUGGAAACCAGCUCUGGAUACGCCCUGCUGCACUUCUUCAGCGACGCCGCCUACAACCUCACAGGAUUCGAGAUCUUCUAUUCGAUUAAUUCCUGCCCCAAUAACUGCUCUGGCCAUGGGAAGUGCACCACAGGGAACUCCAUCGCCAGCCGUGUGUACUGUGAGUGUGACAAGUACUGGAAGGGCGAGGCGUGUGACAUCCCCUACUGCCGCAACAACUGUGGCAGCCCAGACCAUGGCUACUGUGACCUCACCGGGGAAAAGCUCUGUGUCUGCAACGACAGCUGGCAGGGUCCAGAUUGUUCCCUGACGGUUCCGUCUACAGAGUCGUACUGGGUUCUGCCCGGGGUGAAGCCGUCAGGGGCGUGGCUAGCGAGGGCGUCCCACAGAGCUGUGCUGCAGGGCCAGCUGGUGUGGGUGGUAGGAGGAUACUCCUUCAACUACAGCUCCUUCCAGAUGAUCCUCAAUUACAACCUGGAGAGCGGUGUGUGGAACACGGUGCCUAGCAACAGCGGGCCCCUCCCCAGAUACGGCCACUCCCUCGCCAUCUACCAGGAUGACCUCUACAUGUUCGGGGGGAAGCUGGAGGCGGGUCCUGCCAAUGUGACGGAGGAACUGUGGGUGUUCCACACCUCCAGUCGUACCUGGUCCCAGGUGCGCCCCGCCCCCGGCCACGCCCUGGUGCAUGCUGUGGAGGGCCACUCCGCCCACAUGGCCCUGCUGCAGGGGGGCAAGCCUGUCAUGGUUGUGCUGUUCGGCUACUCACCCGUCUACAGCUACAUCAGCAGCGUGCAGGAGUACAACAUCCGGAGCAACACGUGGUCGCUCCCGGAGACGCGAGGGGCGGUGCCCCAGGGAGGGUACGGCCACAGCAGUGUGUACCAUGCAGCCAGCAACAGCGUGUUCCUGCAUGGAGGCUACAAGGCCCUGCCUGCCAACAAGUAUGGACUGGUGGACCACCUGUACCGCUACCAAGUCCACACACACACCUGGACCAUCCUGAAGGAGAGUGGUUCUCCCCGCUAUCUGCACUCGUCUGUGCUGCUCAGUGGAACGCUGCUGAUCUUCGGAGGGAACACGCACAACGACACGUCGCUUAGCAACGGGGCCAAGUGCUUCUCCGCCGACUUCCUGGCCUAUGACAUCGCCUGUGAUCAGUGGAGCACUCUGCUCAAGCCGGAUCUGCACCGGGAUGUCAACCGCUUCGGUCACUCUGCCGUGGUCAGCAACGGGUCCAUGUAUGUGUUUGGAGGGUUCUCUGGCGUGCUCCUGAACGAUGUGCUGGUGUACCAGCCCCCACGCUGCCAAGCCUUCCUGGAGCAGCAGGCCUGCCUGGGGGCAGGACCCGGCCUACGCUGCAUCUGGGACCUGCACCACUGCUCCGCCUGGGAGCCCAGCAUCAACACCACCACCCCCGCUCCCUUCUGCCCCCCCAGGCCAGUCACGGUGGAUGAGCGCUGCUACAGGUUCUCUGACUGCAGCAGCUGCACCUCCAACACUAACGGCUGCCAGUGGUGCGACGACAAGAAGUGCCUGUCUGCCUCCAGCAACUGCACCGUGAGUGUCCGAGUGUUUGAGCAGUGUGCAGUGAGGAGCGAGCAGAGCUGUAGCCGGCUGGCUAACUGUCGCAGCUGCUCCCUCAACCCCAUCUGUCAGUGGGACCCUCACCAGAUGGAGUGCCAUGCCCUUCCAGCCCAGCUGUGUGGAGAGGGUUGGACCCAGGUGGGGGAGGUGUGUCUGAGGAUCAACUCCAGCAGGGAGAGCUACGACAAUGCGCAGCACUACUGUAAGAACCUGGCGGGGAACAUCGCCUCGCUCAGCUCUGCCACUCAGGUCCAUUUCAUCCUGGAGGAGCUGCACAAACUGCAGCAGCACCACAAGCGUCUGUCCCCCUGGGUGGGUCUGAGGAAGAUCAACGUGUCGUACUGGGGCUGGGAGGACAUGUCCCCCUUCACCAACUCCUCCCUGCAGUGGCUGCCUGGGGAGCCCAAUGACUCUGGCUUCUGUGCCUUCCUGGAAGAGACGCAGGUGUCGGGGCUCCGGGCCAACCCCUGCACCGCCCCCGCAGACGGCCUCAUCUGUGAGAAACCUGCUGUGAGCCCCAACCAGAGUGCCCGUCCCUGUAAGAUGGCGUGCUCGCUGAGGACCAGCUGUGCCAACUGCACCAGCCAGGCCAUGGAGUGCAUGUGGUGCAGCAACACCCAGCGCUGUGUGGACUCCACCGCAUACGUCGUGUCCUUCCCCUACGGACAGUGUCUGGAGUGGCAGACUGGAGACUGUGUGGCCCAGAACUGCUCGGGGCUGCGUACGUGUGUGAUGUGUCUGGAGCAGCCAGGGUGUGGCUGGUGUGAAGACCCCAGCAGCACGGGGAGGGGCCAGUGUGUGGAGGGCUCCUACCGAGGGCCCAUGAAGGGCCCCAGCCAGAGCCACCCCACCUCCCAGGACAUGACCCUGGAGCCAGGCUUGUGCCCCAAGGAGAAGGGCUACGAGUGGGCUUUCAUCCACUGCCCUGCUUGCCAGUGUAACGGUCACAGCUCCUGUGUGAACGGCAGCGUGUGUGAGCAGUGCCGUAACCUCACCACCGGACAACACUGCCAGACCUGCAUGCCCGGUUACCAUGGAGAUCCCACCAACGGGGGGAAGUGUCAAGCCUGUAAGUGUAACGGCCAUGCCGGUGUGUGCCAGGUUCAGACUGGGAAGUGCUUCUGCACCACCAAGGGCAUCAAAGGAGACCACUGCCAGCUUUGUGACUCAGAGAACCGUUACCUUGGCAACCCCCUGAGAGGAACCUGUUACUACAACCUGCUGAUAGACUACCAGUUCACCUUCAGCUUGUUGCAGGAGGAUGACCACCACUACACAGCCAUCAACUUCAUGGCCACGCCUGAACAGACCAACAAGAACCUGGACAUGUCCAUCAACGCAUCCAACAACUUCAACCUCAACAUCACCUGGUCUGUGGGAUCCACAGCUGGGACAGUGUCUGGAGAGGAAGUCCCCAUCGUCUCCAAGACCAACAUCAAGGAGUACCGAGACAGCUUCUCCUGCGAGAAGUUCACCUUCAGGAGCAACCCCAACAUCACCUUCUAUGUAUACGUCAGCAACUUCUCCUGGCCCAUUAAAAUACAGAUUGCCUUCUCCCAGCACAACAGCAUCAUGGACCUGGUCCAGUUCUUCGUGACGUUCUUCAGCUGCUUCCUGUCGCUGCUGCUGGUGGCGGCCGUGGUGUGGAAGAUCAAGCAGACCUGCUGGGCAUCCAGACGCAGAGAGCAGCUGAUGAGGGAGAGGCAGCAGAUGGCCAGCAGGCCGUUUGCCUCCGUUGCCGUGGCGCUGGACAUCGGAGGCGAGCAAACUGAGCUCCUACCUGGAGGGGUUGAGGGCCCUCCCAAGCCCAUUGCCAUGGAGCCGUGUUCAGGAGGGCGUGCGGCGGUGCUGACAGUGCUGAUGUGUCUCCCCUCCGGACCCUCGCGCCUCCCCCCCCCUGGCCAGUCUGGAAUUGCCAUUGCCAGCGCCCUGAUUGACACGUCUCAGCAGAAACCAAUGGACUACAAAGAGAAGAGCCAGGCUUUGAAGAACCGCAAGACCCUCCCCCCUGCCCACCAGGGCACCUGUGUCUGAACAGCUCUCAGCUAACCCUGACCCUCAGGACUUCUGGCUUCAUUAGAUUGAUGGAGGUCUCCAGUCUCCAGCCCGUGUGGCCGGGGGACGGGGACCAUCCCAGAUCCAGGACAGGUGUUCCAUCAUGGUGUCUGAGGGCAGGACGUUCUCCCGGAGGGGCGUGUCCUUGUCUGUCCGUGUCGCUCUGCACCGCCACCGAUGUGAUCUGACUGACGAUGUCCGCCAAGCCGCAGUGAAUGCUGGCAUCCUCCUGCCACCUCCGGCUGUUCACCAGGACCCCAGCAGAUAGAUGGUUGUAAGUACAGUAUAUAAACUCCUCCCCAAAAGUUUGGAAACUCUCAAAACGAGAGUGAGUACCAACAGAGGAAUAUUGCAAGGGAUUUGGGCACAUUUUUUGGGGCCGCUACCCACACGGUUAGCUGUGUUGCUCAUUCCACGAAUGCACGAUCCUUACAAGUUGUACCUCAUUGUAAAGGUGACUAAUCAGGCUUUCCAACGGUAUUAAAUACAAUACCAAUUGGUAUUAUUGAAGGAGAGGAAUAAUCGACCCAAAUAACGUUUCCGAACUUUUUUGAGGAAUAUAUAUACAUAUUUCACCAUAUAUGAGGGAGAUAUUCGAAAUAGUCGGUGUCAAAAAGCAUUCCUGGUGAAUGCUCUGUGUCUGGGGUGUCUUUUUCUAUAAUUGUAUCAAUACGAUGUGAGGUCCAGUUACCAGCAUGACACUAAAACAGGCAAUAGUAAUGGCUGCUUUUCACUUAGGUAUAUGUCAGAGCACUUCUUUACUUUAACUUGAGUGAAAAGUGUGGAUAGUAUUUUAACUUUUCCCAAUUUUUUGAACCUGAGUAUCUGUAAUUCUACUUGAGUGGAAGGAUGUGUGAACUUUUGCAUCUCUGCACUGUUAUUACACUGUUAUUACACUGUUAUAAUUUGUCACUAAUGUUAUUGCAUUGUUAUUACGCUGUUAUUACACUGUUCUACUUGAGUUAAGGAUGUGUACUUUUGCCAUCUCUGGUUACUCCAGGUGUUUUUACUAUCUAAAUGAAUGUUACUGCAGAUAACAUCUACAGUAACAUUAACUUUUACUACGGGUACUUUUACUACGGGUGUUAUUACUAGGGAGUCAGGUGGCUGAGCGGUUAGGGAAUCCGGCUAGUAAUCUGAAGGUCGCC